ACGCCAAGAUUGCUUCAUCAGCGGGGUGUGCUCGGCGGCGCCCGUGCUGAGUUUGGUUUUGUCUUUGGUGUCGGCGGUUUGCAAGAACGUUGUCCGGAAAUCUGGCGGUCGAUAAAUCUGGCGGUCGAUGGGUCGCAAGCGGCGCGUGGCGGUAGCCUUGCUACGCCGGUGUGGCGGCGCUGCGCGAAAAAGGCCAAUGCGCUGUCGCGACCAACAGACCCGUUGCGAUGGAACGGAAGAGGAGCGGUGGCCGGAGUGCAUUUGGCCGUGGAGGGUGCAAGUUUAAGCCGACAUGGCAAAAAAACCUCAGUUCGUCGGCCGCAGGCUGACCGCAGCGGGUUGCACGUGCGAGCCGGCGCGCUGAUUAGGGCUCUGUUGGGAAGCAGCCAUCGCUUGCGCUGGAGCGCAGGCCGCGACGAUGAACGGUUGAACUCGCGUGCGGAUUCG
rnacentral:sRNA from 1 species